GAUGAAGAACGCAGUGAAAUGCGAUACGUAAUGUGGAUUGCAGAAUUCAGUGAAUCAUCGAGUCUUUGAACGCACAUUGCGCCCCCUGGUAUUCCGGGGGGCAUGCCUGUCCGAGCGUCAUUGCUGCCCUCAAGCACGGCUUGUGUGUUGGGCCUCCGUCCUCCUCCCGGGGGACGGGCCCGAAAGGCAGCGGCGGCACCGCGUCCGGUCCUCGAGCGUAUGGGGCUUCGUCACCCGCUCUUGUAGGCCCGGCCGGCGCUUGCCGACACAUCAAUCUUUUUUCCAGGUUGACCUCGGAUCAGGUAGGGAUACCCGCUGAACUUAAGCAUAUCAAUAAGCGGAGGA
rnacentral:misc_RNA from 1 species